UCCCGAGACAAAUUUCUUCUCAUCUCUUCUCUUCUCGCGACGGCGUCGAUCUCUCUCGGGCGAAACCGCAGCAGGAAGCUGGGGUGUUUCCGACGGCCGGCGAGGGUUCAAUCCGAGAGCUUUUCGCUUCUUCACGAUCCUCUCGGCGAGGUGGACGCUUAGGCACAAGAAGAGGUCAGGAACUCAAGCAUCUCAGCAACCCUAGAAGCCCUUUCCUCCUUCAGUAGAGAGUCUAAGAACGCAAGAUAAAGGAAAAGCUAAAGUAUAAGGAAGAAGGCGACAAGGAGAUGCUGUGACGGUGUGUGAUGUGUGGACUAUGCUUGCUAUGUGUGGUGCUACCUUAAGGACUGGAGGCACGACGAAGAAGGAAGCAAGAUAGACGCGACGACAUGAACCCUAGGGUCGGCGGCUAGGUUUUUUCCUCCUCACCUGGCUAGGGUUGGCGGCGGCUAGGGCUAGUGGCAUACAGAGGACAACGAUGGAUGAUGCCAUAAUAGUUAGAAAUUUAUUUUAAUAUUUAUUGUCUUUAUAUGCUGUGUUUGUGUGCUUGUGUGCAUGUGUGAUGUGUGUGCAUGUUAAAAUUCCUCAUUUUUAAAUAACUA